GCAAAGGAACUGGGCCUUGGUCGAUAGAGAAAGCCCUAGAAAAAAAAACCAAGAGGCCGAGGGGGUGGAUCGAGGAGCUUCCAUGUCCACGGCGGCCGGUGAUCUCCCGGCGGCGUCGACGAGGAGCGAGAGGCGGAAGGAGCGGAAGAAGGAGCGCCGCCGGCGCGCGCGCAGGGAGGCGGCGGCGGCCGCGCGGGCUGCGGCAGAGGCGCUCGCCGCCGACCCAGAGGAGGGGCGCCGCCUCCGGGAGCUCGAGGAGGCCGAGGCCGCCGCGUCCGACCGCGCGCGCCGCGCCUUUGAGGACGCCGAGCGCCGCUGGCUUGAGAAGGCCGCCUCGCGUGCCGCCGAGGAGGCAGCCGCGGCGGCUGCGGAAGAAGAGGCGAGGGCCGCCGAGGCUUCCACACGCGACAAGUAUAACGAUGAGCACAGAGACGAGACAGAAGAUGAUGGGGAAUGGGAGUAUGUUGAAGAUGGACCAGCGGAGAUCAUAUGGCAAGGAAAUGAGAUCAUUCUGAAGAAGAAAAAGAUCAAAAUACCAAAGAGGACAGAGGAUAAACCACUAAGUCAAGAGGAAGAGAGACCUACAUCAAAUCCGCUGCCACCUCAGUCUGUACCUGUUGCUUCUCAGAGGAGAGAACCUUCCUUGUCUGCUCGAGAACUACUUGAGAAAGUUGCUCAAGAGACUCCAAAUUUCGGAACUGAACAGGAUAAGGCCCAUUGCCCAUUUUACCUCAAGACAGCAGCUUGCCGCUUUGGAGUGCGCUGCAGCAGAGUUCAUUUCUACCCUGACAAAUCAUGCACAUUGCUCAUGAAAAACAUGUAUAAUGGUCCGGGCCUUGUUUUGGAACAAGAUGAAGGGCUUGAGGUUUGUUAGAGGACAAUCCCUUGCAAACGAAUUGGUAUCCUGAACUAUUCUGUGUUUUGGCACAGCUUUUUAGUGUUGUUCACCCUCACUUUCAUGGACAGUUAUACUCAUUAUAAUACUUAUUCCUGACCUACUCACUGUUUUAAGAUUAUACUCCCUCCCUUUAGGUUUGUUACAUCUCAAAAAAUCUGAAUUGUCAGUUUUGGAAGGCCCAUUGCUUUAGGAAUAGGCAAAUAUUAAGUACAGUCACAUUAAUUUCUGUCUAAAUUUAGUUCUCAAUGUGGAAUUUAGUUCUAAAUUUAGUUCUUGAAAAACCAUGCAUGCUGCAUUAAUACAUGGUCCAUCACUUAAUUAGGUCCUCCUUGGUUACAGUGAUUUUUUAGUGAGCCAAAUGGAUUAAGCUUAAACUUUGUGUUGUACAAUGAACAACCAUAGGUAGAAAUAACUGGUUACUUUAAUUCUUUUGUAAGUUCUCUUCGAAGUGUUAAAAUGUGCCUGUUGCUCUUUAGAAGUUUUGCUUGAUCUUCUGGCUACUCUCAGACCUGCGACAUAAUACAUGUUCAUUGAUGCAUUCUCCAAGAAUUCCGUCUCGAGGCAAGCAGUGACCAACCAGCCAGUUGGUUUCAUUUGAUUGGAGACGCCCUGAACUUUCAUCUGCUACCUACUUGUGAGAUGUUCUUUUAUUGGACGUGUUGAUGAUCAUUAGGUGACAGUUUACAGACGAAGAGAUUGAACAGAGCUAUGAAGAAUUUUAUGAGGACGUGCACACAGAAUUUCUGAAAUUUGGUGAACUUGUCAACUUCAAGGUAUGUAGAAAUGGAUCAUUCCAUCUCCGAGGAAAUGUCUAUGUGCAUUAUAAAGCCUUGGAUUCAGCUCUUCUUGCCUACAACAGCAUGAAUGGUCGAUAUUUUGCUGGGAAGCAGAUAACAUGUGAGUUUGUUGCUUUGACGAAAUGGAAGUCAGCGAUCUGUGGUGAGUACAUGAGGUCAAGAUUCAAGACAUGUUCACAUGGAGUUGCUUGUAAUUUCAUUCAUUGCUUUCGUAACCCUGGUGGAGAUUAUGAGUGGGCUGAUUGGGACAAUCCUCCACCUAAAUACUGGACUCGGAAGAUGGCUGCUCUGUUUGGUCCCUCAGAUGAUGCUGUUUUUGACAAGGCGAGUGAUACCCCAGAUUUUGAACGGUUACACAGUUCAGAUAGGAAGAGACAGAGAAGUUCUGAUGACAGGUAUAUUUCAAGUAGACAUGGGGAUGGAGAUACACAUAAACGGCAUUCAUCAAGAGUUUUUUCACAUUCGAAGCAAGAGCAGAGCAACCAUAUCAUGAAAUAUGGGCAUACUCGAGAUAGAAGAGAACCAUCUGCAGCAAAUGAGCAACGAGGCCAAGAGAUUGAAGAUGAUACUGGCAGAUACUGUUCGCCCAUGGAAAAUGAAAGAGUGUCCCAAGCACAUAAGCAUGAAGAGAAACAUAGAGAUGGCCAUGGCGAUGGAGCACGUGGAUACAAUGGUAAAAUCAAGUCCAGGAAGCACAGAUCUGAACGGCACGAAAGUCUGGAGUCUGGAUGUUCUGAUUGGCCUUCAGAAUUUGCUGAUGCUGGCACGAGCAGAAGUCCUUCAGGCAGCAAGUCCACCAACAGGCACAAUAAUCACAAAAGGAGCCGGAGGCAAUCCUCGGAUGACCCCAAUCUUGAAAGGGGCUACACCGCUGCGGGCAAAUCAUCAGGGAAAGUGCACAUUGCCAAAAGUAGCUCGAGACAUUACGUUGAAGAUGACUCUUAUGGUGAGAAAGGUAGUAGAAGAGGCAAAUCUGGAAAGCACAGUGAUCGUUGUGAUGACCCUGAUGAUAGAUGGCUAGCAACAAAUAGUGAUGUUGAUUUAGAUGCAGAAACUCGAUUCCCGAGGUCAAGCAGUGGAGUUGGUAAAGGUGGAAGGAAUGAUGAUGCUCCUCCAGAUGAGGAUGAUCGUUAUCAAAGGUCCAGCAGUAGGUCUGGUAGGUCAAGAGCGAAGGAUGACAAGAGCAGCAGCAGGAGGAAGAAGCAUCACAGUGAAAUCAGGAAGACUAGCGACAGCGAUGAUGGCCCCUCGGACUCUAGUGACAUUAGGGAUUUGAGCUUGCCUGCGUGGAGGAGUCGGUCAAGAAGCAGCGAGGAGGGUCUCUCAUUGCACAAACGGAGGAAGGGCCGCCGUGGUCAUGAUUCGUGAUGCAGCUGAAAUAUCUGAUCAUUUGGUCACUAGACUAGCGACUUUGGAUUUCGGACGAUAAAAGAAAAUGUGAUAUUACUCCGUAGAUGCCACUAGCUCAUGCAGUAGUCCUUGCCAGCCUUGCUUUCUUCUCCUUUUCUUGUCUUGUCCUCUUUGCUGAUGAGGUUCUUUUCCCGGAUAGAGAUUUCUUGCAAAGCAGUGCUAAUUUAGAGUUGUUUACAUGUCACCCUUGGUCCAGCCCUGGAAUUCCACCGACUUUUUGCUCAUCACACUUGCUACUGAAUGAAAAGGCACAUCUUCAAGAAAAAAUUUCCCUUCCCUCCAACUGAAAGAAUUUGUUCCAUCGAUCCUCCGGAAAUGCAAUUCUCGGGUGAGGGAAGGGGGAAGCUCCAGGAAGGCUUCGCUCGCUCGCUUUCAAGAGCGCCCUGUCACCAGACCAACAUAAAUGGAACUUAUCAGUCAGUAGCUUCCUUCUCCACAAGUUCCCUUUUCACAAGAAUUUGAAAAACUUCCAUUGCACUUUUGUUUUGAGAAAUAUACUUCCAUUGCACUUUAUUCCAAACACGAGCCUCGCACUCUGGCCCGCUAGCUACUAGGCGGGCUUCUGCA
rnacentral:rRNA from 1 species